rnacentral:rRNA from 1 species
AUAGCCAUGCAUGUCUAAGUAUAAGCAACUUGUACUGUGAAACUGCGAAUGGCUCAUUAAAUCAGUUAUCGUUUAUUUGAUAGUACCUUACUACAUGGAUACCUGUGGUAAUUCUAGAGCUAAUACAUGCUAAAAACCCCGACUUCAGGAAGGGGUGUAUUUAUUAGAUAAAAAACCAACGCCCUUCGGGGCUCCUUGGUGAAUCAUAAUAACUUAACGAAUCGCAUGGCCUUGCGCCGGCGAUGGUUCAUUCAAAUUUCUGCCCUAUCAACUUUCGAUGGUAGGAUAGUGGCCUACCAUGGUGGCAACGGGUAACGGGGAAUUAGGGUUCGAUUCCGGAGAGGGAGCCUGAGAAACGGCUACCACAUCCAAGGAAGGCAGCAGGCGCGCAAAUUACCCAAUCCCGAUACGGGGAGGUAGUGACAAUAAAUACUGAUACGGGGCUCUUUUGGGUCUCGUAAUUGGAAUGAGAACAAUUUAAAUCCCUUAACGAGGAACAAUUGGAGGGCAAGUCUGGUGCCAGCAGCCGCGGUAAUUCCAGCUCCAAUAGCGUAUAUUAAAGUUGUUGCAGUUAAAAAGCUCGUAGUUGAACCUUGGGUCUGGCUGGCCGGUCCGCCUCACCGCGAGUACUGGUCCGGCUGGACCUUUCCUUCUGGGGAACCUCAUGGCCUUCACUGGCUGUGGGGGGAACCAGGACUUUUACUGUGAAAAAAUUAGAGUGUUCAAAGCAGGCCUUUGCUCGAAUACAUUAGCAUGGAAUAAUAGAAUAGGACGUGUGGUUCUAUUUUGUUGGUUUCUAGGACCGCCGUAAUGAUUAAUAGGGAUAGUCGGGGGGCGUCAGUAUUCAGCUGUCAGAGGUGAAAUUUCUUGGAUUUGCUGAAGACUAACUACUGCGAAAGCAUUCGCCCAAGGAUG